AACGAACGCUGGCGGCAUGCCUAACACAUGCAAGUCGAACGAACUCUUCGGAGUUAGUGGCCCACGGGUGCGUAACGCGUGGGAAUCUGCCCUUGGGUACGGAAUAACUCAGAGAAAUUUGUGCUAAUACCGUAUAAUGUCUUCGGACCAAAGAUUUAUCGCCCAAGGAUGAGCCCGCGUAAGAUUAGCUAGUUGGUGGG
rnacentral:rRNA from 1 species